rnacentral:rRNA from 1 species
AGUGAACGCUGGCGGCGUGCCUAAUACAUGCAAGUCGAACGGAAUUUAAAAGAGCUUGCUCUUUUAAAUUUAGUGGCGCACGGGUGAGUAAUAUAUAGCUAAUCUGCCCCUUGCUGGAGGACAACAGUUAGAAAUGACUGCUAAUACUCCAUACUCCUUUUUACCAUAAGAUAAAUCGGGAAAGAAUUUCGGCAAGGGAUGAGACUAUAUCGUAUCAGCUAGUCGGUGGGGUAACGGCCUACCGAGGCUAUGACGCGUAACUGGUCUGAGAGGAUGAUCAGUCACAUUGGAACUGAGACACGGUCCAAACUCCUACGGGAGGCAGCAGUAGGGAAUAUUGCGCAAUGGGGGAAACCCUGACGCAGCAACGCCGCGUGGAGGAUGACACUUUUCGGAGCGUAAACUCCUCUUGUUAGGGAAGAAUAAUGACGGACCUAACGAAUAAGCAC